AGUGAACGCUGGCGGUAGGCCUAACACAUGCAAGUCGAACGGCAGCACAGUAAGAGCUUGCUCUUACGGGUGGCGAGUGGCGGACGGGUGAGGAAUACAUCGGAAUCUACUUUUUCGUGGGGGAUAACGUAGGGAAACUUACGCUAAUACCGCAUACGACCUGCGGGUGAAAGCAGGGGAUCUUCGGACCUUGCGCGAUUGAAUGAGCCGAUGUCGGAUUAGCUAGUUGGCGGGGUAAAGGCCCACCAAGGCGACGAUCCGUAGCUGGUCUGAGAGGAUGAUCAGCCACACUGGAACUGAGACACGGUCCAGACUCCUACGGGAGGCAGCAGUGGGGAAUAUUGGACAAUGGGCGCAAGCCUGAUCCAGCCAUACCGCGUGGGUGAAGAAGGCCUUCGGGUUGUAAAGCCCUUUUGUUGGGAAAGAAAAGCAGCAGGUUAAUACCCCGCUGUUCUGACGGUACCCAAAGAAUAAGCACCGGCUAACUUCGU
rnacentral:rRNA from 1 species